rnacentral:rRNA from 1 species
UACGAAGGGGGCUAGCGUUGUUCGGAAUUACUGGGCGUAAAGCGCGCGCUAGGCGGUCUUCCAAGUCAGUGGUGAAAGCCCGGAGCUCAACUCCGGAAUUGCCAUUGAAACUGUUGGACUUGAGGAUGAGAGAGGUGAGUGGAAUUCCCAGUGUAGAGGUGAAAUUCGUAGAUAUUGGGAAGAACACCGGUGGCGAAGGGCGGCACUCCUGG